rnacentral:rRNA from 1 species
AUUGAACGCUGGCGGCAGGCUUAACACAUGCAAGUCGAGCGAGCGGCGGACGGGUGAGUAAUGUCUGGGAAACUGCCUGAUGGAGUGGGAUAACUACUGGAAACGGUAGCUAAUACCGCAUCCCAUCUGCUGUGCCCAGAUGGGAUUAGCUAGUAGGUGGGGUAAUGGCUCACCUAGGCGACGAACCCUAGCUGGUCUGAGAGGAUGACCAGCAACAGUGGAACGGAGAAACGGGCCAGAAUCCUACGUGAGGCAGCAGGGGGGAAUAUUGCACAAUGGGCGCAAGCCUGAUGCAGCCAGGCCGCGUGUGUGAAGAAGGCCUUCGGGUUGUAAAGCACUUUCAGCGAGGAGGCGGUACUCGCAGAAGAAGCACCGGCUAACUCCGUGCCAGCAGCCGCGGUAAUUC